GCCGAAGUGGUGGAACUGGCAGACGCGCUGGACUCAAAAUCCAGUCUCCGCAAGGGGGUGCGGGUUCGAUUCCCGCCUUCGGCA
rfam:Clostridiales bacterium GWE2_32_10 gwe2_scaffold_596, whole genome shotgun sequence.